CGCAUAACUCCGAGCUUUUUUACCUACGUUUCUAUCCAAACAUGUUUUUGUUUAAAAAUAAGGUAACUAAGCCAGUAACGUAGUAAGUUACUCAGGGAUAGCAAGGAAACGAACUAUCCUCUCCAUAUUUAGAAAGGUGUGAAAUGCAAU
rnacentral:ncRNA from 1 species